UAAACAAAUAUAAGUUAAUUCAACGUUGAUCAAUCCAUGCCGAAUAAACAUUCACACAAAUACAAAGUUAGUAGAAUAAGAAGAAAGUGAAGGAGAAGGACUAGAUGCGGCCAAGUCCUUUGGGAAGGGACCGAUUUCUAAUAACGUAGACUCUGAUGGCGGACAGUCCUACAGCGGUUGACCCGACGCUUGGGUCAAAACGAGUUCCGAUGCGGAACUCCAACUCCCCGAUCCACAUGAAAAAAAAUAAAAGAUAGAUUAGCAAUAUACUUAAUAAAAUAAACUAAAAUAAUAAAGGCACAAAUAGCUUCUAGUCAAGUGGAACAUACAAGUGGGCUAGUUGCCAUAAUGAGGCAGAAAGGGGCAAAGUAUAGGUUAGGUACUGUUUCAAGCAAAUCAGCUACUGUAGGGGUCGAUUGGUUGGAAAUUGUUAUCCCGGGAUAACUAAUACCGAGAUUAGUUAUCCCAAGAUUACCCGGAAUAACUUAUUCCACCAUGUAUAUGGGAUAAGUUGUCCCAUCACUAAGGGGAAAAUGGUGGAAUAAGUUAUCUCUGGUUGGAUUAAUCCCUCCAACCAAACAAGAGAUUAAGUGUCUUUUAUUUUAUUCCGGGAUAACUCAUCCCUUGAAUUUUUUAUACCUCAAACCAAACGAUCCCUAAGUUAAUAGCUAUGCGAAGUUUCGAUCCCAUAUAUUUUCAAGAAAACUCACGACAUUAGAAUUCUAGUUACAAAAUCCACAGGUAAAUUAAAUUACUACGUCAAUAACAAUGCAUUAUUGAGAACAAACCCAACCAAACGACGUUCUAAAAAAACCUACCAACAAUAUGGAUCAAAAGGGAACAAAAAGGUAAUGAUUUUGUACAUUCAAAAGGUCAUUUACUUGCACUCUAGCUGAAAUCAAUCACAAAUGCCAACUAUUUUACCCUCAUCCAUGGAAACUUAAAAUUCAAAUUUUCAAGACCAACAUAACAGAGACACCGGAUUAUAGAAGAUGGUACCAUGGGAAAAAAGGGACCCUGCAUUAUACACUCAAAUGCAAACGUGAUAGACGGUAGUCAAAAUGAAUUAGCAUCCCGAAAUUGUAGGGUUGGUCGGAUCUUUUCAAAUUAAAAAAAACGAACAUGACAGAGAACUAUUCUUAAAUCGACUUAAAAAAUUCACAUAGAUAGGAGAGUUCAUUCUAAGUUAAAAACAACAUAACCCUGAAUAACAAGGAAUAUAUCGUGUCUUUAGGGUGAUAGGCCCUCCAAUCUUGAAUGGAGACUAAAUGAACCUUGAUAGACCCUCCAAUCUUGAAUGGAGACUAAAUGAACCUCACCGUUUAUAAAUGAAGGAAAACAAUAACUUUGGAUAUUCAUAACAACCCUAUAUUGUUUGAAACAAAGCAAAAGCAGAGAAACAAAGUUUUGCACAUUCCUUCAAACAAACGUGUAUUAAACGGAUGAAAAUUAAACCAGAAUAAUAUCUUAAAUUUAAUUAGCAGGGAACAAACGGAUAUGCCGACAUAAACUUGCAACCAAAAUAAAUCGCAUAUUUAUCAAAAUCAGGCCAAACAAAGGAGAGAAAAAUUUACGAAAAAUUACAGAAACUAGCCUCCAAUAAAUAGCAACACUUUUUUAAAAUUACAACUUAUAGCAAAAGUAGCAAAUUUUUAUGUAUUUUUCAGUUGUGUCUAUGUAUUUAUGAGUAAUACAUAUAUAUUUGUAUAUGUAUUUAUAUAAUAAUAUUUUACUUAAAUAUAAUUUGCUAUUUUUUGUAAUUAUGAAACUGUUGCCGUAAAAGUUAUAAUUAAGGCUGAAAAGUUGCUAUUUAAAAAAUUAUGGGAGGGAAUAAUAGUUUACAUUCAAAACCCGAAAUCAAGAAUGGAGAACAACAGUCCUAAACAGGAUCGACACACAUUCACGCAUAUUUUUGACCCUUUUAAAAAAAUCAAGAUUUAUAUAUACCGCAAUCUCUCAGGAAAAUGACAACAACAAUAUGAACUUCAGAAAAACCCACAUAUCCAUGUUUUCGCAAAACAACCAUAUUCACAAACGCAAUUUAAAGAUGACGACCAACAAUACUAUAACUAAGAUUUCCAUUCACAGUUUUACUAACUUAAACAAAAUACGUGUUUGUUUCCCAAAAACGUCCAAAUGGUCGAUUUACAGAAACUCAGAGUGCAUCGACGAUACCACAAAAAUAGUCUAUGUAUUUAUAAAGCUGAAAUAGACGAGUGAGAAUGAGAUAAACAAAAGAGUAAGGUAGGAGAUUCACACCUUUUUUCGGGCAGCAAACUAAGCCUCAACAUUAAGGAAUUUCCAGCGACGAACUCACUCCCGAGGACACCAAAUUUAAACCCAGUCAGAAAGAAACAGCGACUCUUCCUCUCUUCUUUUUUUUCGACUUUCUCUAACUUAUUUUUCUCCAAUCUCCGACCCUCAGGCUUGUGUUUGCUCUUAUUCUUUCAUUUUCCACCUUUUUUUUUUUGAUACCCAGAUCUCCAGGACUACUUUUUACAAUUUUCAGUCUUUUUCUUGCUCUUCUCUUACUUUCCACUCGUUUUUCCCUUACUUUUCUCUCGAAACCUUUUGCCUCUUUUUCCCGAAUUUCAAGCUUCUUCUUGAGAUGAUCGAAAAAUCCAUAUUUAUAGGUACAAAUCCGGACUUGAAAGUCCGGAUUUGAAACCUUAGAAUAAAAAAUGGGAAGAAGAAAAUAGAAAGAAUUUUUCACAAUCAAAUCUGAAACCUAUUCCAAUCUCAGCUUUUCAGGCUAUUGAUGGGGAUUUUGAAUUUUUUUGCGCCAAAUAGUGUCUGAUUUUUCUGUCACAGUGGAAUCGUCGGAUUUUCGGGAUGGGGGAAAUGGGCCGCGCAGAGGGUGGUUGAAAGUUGUCUGCUAGGGUUUAGGCUUUGGGGGUGGUGGAGGAGAGGGAGGAGGAGAAGAGAGCAGGAGAAAGAGGAAAGAGAGUUAUAUUUUUGACAUUGAUUUGGGUGGAUGACGGUGGUGACUACUCGUUGUUUCUUGAGAAAGGGAAAGCGCGUGCUUCUGCCUUUCUGAUGCAUCAUUCAUUGCACUGGUUGAAGAUUUUGACCAACAUUUGGACAGAUAAAAAAUAAGAAAAUA
rnacentral:lncRNA from 1 species